CCAACGGCCCUCUUUAGGGCCACAAAUUCUAUCGAAUGCUGAACUU
rfam:Ancylostoma ceylanicum strain HY135 Acey_s0571_scaf, whole genome shotgun sequence.